GAAAUUUGAAUUAAAUGUUGUAUAUGGUACAAGACUUUACGUGCACAUGUAGUUUGGAAUAUUCCAAAUUCCAAAUUAUAUAUGCACGUAAGUCUUUACACUCACACUUUGUGCAUGCAGUUGCUUAUUCAUUUAGAAUCUCAAUGAAAUUGUUAGUCAUCUCUUAAUCUUUUUCUUGUAAUUAAUAUUUUUUAAGCUAACUUAUUAGUAAUUACUGACCGCAGAGUACAGCGUGUCAUAAACGUAAUUAAAUGUGAAAAAAAUUAAAUGUUGCGAUUUUAUAUACAAAAUCAUGCAAAAACAAUCCGAACGACAUUAUGCGCUCUGCCUAGUUUUCCGUCAAUUUCCUAGUAGAAAGGAGAAAAGGAUAAGAGAAGUAUGCCUUGUGGUCAACGAUAAUACAUUUCUUGGUAAGUAAUUACCCUUGCAAACGUACACGCAUAUGCAUUCUUCCAAUCAAAUAGCUUAAAUAAUGUCGAUGCAUCAUCAUUAAGGAAAAAAUUCAGUUGCAGAAAUUGACGUUAAAAAAAGCAAUUGAAAGGUCGGUUUAGAAAAACAAUUGACAGUUUCAAUGAAAAAGCCAAAGGCCGAUUUGAGUUAAAAAAUUUCGUUGGCAACACAUAACUUAAGACAAAUUCUUUGCUCAACAAAUUUAUUCAUUAUCAAAAUUGCAAAACACUCUUGAGUUCGAUUAACGUUAACAGUUGCUGUAAAUAAAUUGAUUGACAGAUUGCAAACCAACUCUAUGUAGCAAUUAGGUACAAUGCUGACAGCUUACACAUAAAAAAUUUUUUCGAUAUCUUCAUCACGAGACUUUUAAAUGACAAAUUCCAGAAAAAUGCGGAAAAGUUGCGGAAAAAAUUAAAGCAUGAAGCGACAGGAGUUUACCUACGUCAAAUAGUACGAGUGUAAAAGCGUACCGAUACCCUCGUCCCAAUAAAAGUAUUCUUUAACAGUCAGGCAAUCGAGGGUGCUUGUCCCUUUUUUUGUGCUACGCUUUAUGCGACAGUCCAUUAGUCUCUGUUUUGAUGCUUGGGAGAAUGUCAUAGUCAUCGUUCGAAACUUUGAGUAACGAGUUCUCUGACACCCUCGUAUUAAAUUUAUUAAAGUCGCGUGGCGCCGACGACAAGUCUGCAAUUUUGUGAUUUAAUACGCAGGAAAGACUCGUGCAAUCUGCAAGAGCCACAUUUGACGCGCGUGCAUCAGCUGGGACGAUUAAUGUAAAAAAAUAUACAUACAUUUUCAAUACACAGGCUCACACAAUCGUGUCAAAAACUUCUUUGGGAAUUUUCAGUUCAAAAAAGGUAUAGAUCCUGUAAAUAUAUAUAAAUCUUUAAACAUGAACUCUUCCACACACGUGCCAAACAUUUUGACAUCAAUGCGAAAAUAAUGCGAAAUAUCGUAUCCUCCUAAUGUGAAAAAAAUUCUCAUAAUAUUUUUAAGAAAAUUGUUUUAUUCAUGAAGAUUUCUGAAGAAAUACCAUGAAUUUUGUCAGAUAAGAUUUUCUUCUUUAUAAAGUGUAGAAACUAUAGAAUAAAAAAAUUCUAAAAAUAUAGAUAUUUCAGAGUUUUCAUCUACGAUAACAGAACUAAAUAAGAUUCACUUAUUUAUUUUUAAAUUAAAAAGUAAAAUUAAGUGGGCCAUAUUCAGCCCAGAUAUAUCUUCUAUCAUUUUAUGUAAAAAAUUUCUAGAAAAGAUAUAGAUAUCUUCAGUCCUUCGGAAAAGUCUUUCAAUUUAUAUAUACAUAUAUUAUAGAAGAAAACUGACUUUUUUAAAGACUUACAAGAUUAUAUAGAAAUAGAUUUUGAAAAAUGCUAAAAAUUUUCCAUAUAAUAGUUGAAAAAUUAUGUGAAAAAAUUUAAAAAAUUUAUCAGAGACAAAAUUUAAUAAUCUCUUAAUAAAACUUUGCCAUUCAACAUAUUACAUUUUAAUGGUAAGGUACGGUAUAAAAAUCGAUGUUUUAGAAUCACGUUACUUUCAUACACGUAUAUUCCUGAUUACGUCCGAAACAACGUAGCGUACGUAUUUUAAAAUCUUCGCGGGCGCGCGGCCGGAACAAUAACCAGUCAAAUUCCGAGUAGAAGGUCUUUCGUUCCUUUUGGUACUAAUAUCUUUUUAUUGAACAAGCGUGAUAGCAACGGUUGCGCCGUGCAAUUUGUGUUGUCUCGGAUAUAUGUAUCGUUUGCUCGUAUCGCGCGCCGGCAAAGCUGAUGUGUCGGCGACAUAGUAACUAACAGUGCAAUUGCAAUUCACGCGCGCGGCGGAGGGGAAAAGUCGCUUUCCCGUCGGCCGCUACGUGAAAUUGUUCGGCCACGAUCAUGGCGAUCCAGAUAAGGCAUCGUGCCAGUAUCAAUUACAGGGGCGAGCAGCGGCGACGACGGGGGUGUAUAAUGACUGGUCCGGAUAAUACUUUAAGUCAUACUCGAGAACGAGCGAGCGAGCCAAACGUCGCCGCCCUUCUCCGAUCAUUACCGCUCUGUUUCUCUCGGCGGCACGCCUAAUUACUAAUUAUUACGGCGUAAUUGUGCAGCAUUACGGCUCGCGUUACCACUGGCGUUGCUGCGUAAUCUGCAUGCAAGGGCGGACUACAUUAUUCGCGCUUACACUUCGUAGCCGCGCUUUAGCGACGCUUUAUGACUGCAUGGGUCUUGGCUUCGAAUGUUAACUCGCGAUUUAAGUCCACCGGUUUCUUUCGCUGUACGAUCGUCGAUUUUUGACGGCAAAACACAAUGCAAGAUUUCGAUAGGGAUUAAGAUAAUUGCAGUAUACUGAGUAUAUUUCUUUCAUUGCAAUAAAUAUCGAUUGCGUUAAAAAUUAAUUGAAUCGUUGACUAUUAUUGCAAAAUUCUAUUUUAUUAUUCACUUUUAGUAACUUUUUAAUAACUUCGAUUUAAUUUAACAGGAGAUAUCUCCAAAGAGGCAAAAAGAGACAAUUUAAUUUUAAACAAGAUUGAAUAAUUAACGAAAUUUUACUCUCUCAAUUUUUUCGUUGCACCCAUUUAUUAUAAUAAAACUUAUGCGGCAUAUGUACGUUUUUGCUGUGACAUAAUAAUCGCGGAGAAAAAUAAAUGUCACCUUUUGCAAUUUGCAUCGCGAGUCCAACCCGCGCGAGUUUUUCUAAUAACUUAAACGUCGAUAAAGGCAAGGCUUUCCUUUUAUGACGAAUGUGUAACUAGUUGCAAAUGCGGCCGAUUAGUAUCACUGGCGAACGAGCAAGCGGGCGUUUCAAUUAGCGAUUUCUUGCGAAAUCGCGCCGCAUUACCGUUAUAAUUUUGCAGCCACCGAAGUUAGCCUAAUCUCUGUACGUGGGCGGAUUACAUUAUUCGCGCUUACAUUUCUGACUCACACGCCGUGAUUUGUACAACGAUACGAUAAAGAUAAAGAAAGUGUGUGUUUCGAGAUUGUGACAUAAUAGUUUCUUUUUUUUCAUAUCCGCGCAGAACAUGCGCGAUUAAUUUUUUUCUUUAUUUAUUAAUUUUCUAUUUUAUGCUUUUUAUAUACGACAUUCCAGCAUAAUAAAAAUAUUUUAUAUUUGUAUCAAAAUCAAACCUUGUGAAAAUUUAGGCGUUAAAUUUUUUAAAUACUCGAGUAUUAAUUUGAUAUAAAAAAUGUUACAUUUUUAUUUUCAUUUUGCAUAAUAUGAGUUCGUGUUUAUUACCGUCUAAUAUAGCUUGUAUUAAAUUUAAUACAAAAAAUUUUUACUGUGUGUAAAAUCUCUCUUUAAAGAGAUAUACAAACGUUAAUAAUCAUAAUUUAUUAAUAAUCUUAAUAUUAAAAGUUAUAAUUAUAAUAACAAAGAAGCGAGUUAAUUCAUAUAAGUAAAAAUGUAUUUAAAAAUAAUAUGUAGUAUCGUGUGCCCAUGUGCUCCCUCCCCCAAAAAAUAAAA